AAUAAAUCACAAUGCGGAACAAUGUUUUGCAAUUGGAUUGAGAACAACGUACAAACCUUAUCGAUAAACAAUUGGAGGGCAAGUCUGGUGCCAGCAGCCGCGGUAAUUCCAGCUCCAAUAGCGUAUAUUAACGUUGUUGCAGUUAAAAAGCUCGUAGUUGAAAUGAAGGGUAGUUGUGUAAUGAAUACAUUCGUGUAUUUUGUUAUUCUACUACCCUCCUUCUAAAUUCGAUAUAUGAGUAUUAAUUUACUUGUAUAUGGUUUUAGACCUUUACUGUGAGAAAAUUAGAGUGUUCAAAGCAGGCAUUUGCUUGAAUAUAUUAGCAUGGAAUAAUCAUGUAUGAUUUUCAUGAUGUAUUUGAUUGGUUUGGUUCAUGAGAAUAAGAUUAAAAGGGACAGUUGGGGGUAUUCAUAUUCAAUAGUCAGAGGUGAAAUUCUCGGAUUUAUGGAAGAUGAACAAGU
rnacentral:rRNA from 1 species